AAUAAAGUGCCUGAAAAAGGAUUAUUCUGAUAGAAUAAAUCAUGUAAAUAUUUUACCUUUAUUA
rnacentral:tRNA from 3 species